rnacentral:rRNA from 1 species
GACGAACGCUGGCGGCGUGCUUAACACAUGCAAGUCGAACGGAAAGGCCUCUUUCGGGGGGUACUCGAGUGGCGAACGGGUGAGUAACACGUGAGUAACCUGCCCUUGACUUUGGGAUAACUUCAGGAAACUGGGGCUAAUACCGGAUAGGAGCUCCUGCUGCAUGGUGGGGGUUGGAAAGUUUCGGCGGUUGGGGAUGGACUCGCGGCUUAUCAGCUUGUUGGUGGGGUAGUGGCUUACCAAGGCUUUGACGGGUAGCCGGCCUGAGAGGGUGACCGGCCACAUUGGGACUGAGAUACGGCCCAGACUCCUACGGGAGGCAGCAGUGGGGAAUAUUGCACAAUGGGUGGAAGCCUGAUGCAGCAACGCCGUGU